GACGGAGGGUGCAAGCGUUAUUCGGAAUCACUGGGCGUAAAGAGCGUGUAGGCGGCCGGGUAAGUCCGGUGUGAAAGCCCAGGGCUCAACCCUGGAAGGGCACUGGAAACUGCUCGGCUUGAGUACGGGAGAGGGAAGCGGAAUUCCUGGUGUAGAGGUGAAAUUCGUAGAUAUCAGGAGGAACACCGGUGGCGAAGGCGGCUUCCUGGACCGAUACUGACUCUGAGACGCGAAAGCGUGGGGAGCAAACAGG
rnacentral:rRNA from 1 species